rnacentral:antisense_RNA from 1 species
AAUAACCAAAUAUAACACCGGGGCUAAGGGUCAAGUUGGUUAUUUUUCUUACAUCCCCCCCCCCGGGGGCCCAGGUAUCAUAUACACCGCCAAAAUAAAGAGCCUUGAGUACUAGAAGAAAAGCACCUAGACCUAACAAAAUUAAAUGAAUACCCAAAAUUGUAGUCAUUUUAUUUCUAUCUUUCCA